UAGCUCAGAUGGUAAAGCAUCUGCCUGCAGUGCAGGAGACUUGGGUUCGAUCCCUAA
rnacentral:tRNA from 1 species